rnacentral:tRNA from 1 species
GGUGGAUUCAUCUAAUGGCUAGGAUACAUGCCUCUCACUCAUGACAUAGGGGUUCGAAUCCCCUAUCCACUA